AUGGCAAAGAAAAGUGUAAUUGAGAGGGAGAAGAAGAGGCAAAAAUUGGAACAAAAAUAUCAUUUGAUUCGACGAUCUCCAAAAAAAGAAAUGAGCAAAGCUCAAUCGUUAAGUGAGAAAUGGGAAAUUCAGGGAAAGUUGGAAGUACUACCGCGUAAUAGUGCACCUACACGUCUUCAUCGACGUUGUUUUGCGACCGGAAGACCACGAGGUAAUUAUCGACACUUUGGAUUAUCUGGACACGUACUUCGUGAAAUGGUUCACGAAUGUUUGUUGCCCGGUGCAACAAGAUCGAGUUGGUAA